GAUGAGAACGUAGCGAAAUGCGAUAAGUAAUGUGAAUUGCAGAAUUCAGUGAAUCAUCGAAUCUUUGAACGCACAUUGCGCCCGCCAGUAUUCUGGCGGGCAUGCCUGUUCGAGCGUCAUUUCAACCCUCAAGACCCCUUCGGGGGACUUGGUGUUGGGGACCGGCACAGGGGCCUGCCUGCUUGUCUUGCAGCGCCCUCGCCGCCCCCGAAAUGAAUUGGCGGCCUCGUCGCGGCCUCCCCUGCGUAGUAGCACAACCUCGCAACGGGAACGUGACGGCGGCCACUGCCGUAAAACAACCCCAAUUUUAUUAGAGUUGACCUCGAAUCAGGUAGGAAUACCCGCUGAACUUAAGCAUAUCAAUAAGCGGAGGA
rnacentral:misc_RNA from 1 species